UACAGAGGGUGCAAGCGUUAAUCGGAAUUACUGGGCGUAAAGCGUGCGUAGACGGUUAUUUAAGUCAGGUGUGAAAGCCCCGGGCUCAACCUGGGAAUUGCAUUUGGGACUGCAAGGCUGGAGUGCGGCAGAGGAGACUGGAAUUCCCGGUGUAGCAGUGAAAUGCGUAGAUAUCGGGAGGAAUACCGAUGGCGAAGGCAGGUCUCUGGGCGUGACACUGACGCUCAUGCACGAAAGCGUGGGGAGCAAACAGG
rnacentral:rRNA from 1 species